AUGAGGGUGUUGGCAGAGUGGCAGCAGGCCAGGGGGCGUUGCCCACUUCCCUCCAGUGGGGACUCCCAGUUCCCGGUCAGGCCCGCCCUGGGCCCAGAGGCCUGGUGGCGCCUGCGCGGCUUCCCUUUCUCCGUGACUGUGGGGCUGUGUGACCAUGUGGCCGGCAGCCAUCUGGCACGGAAGGCUUUCCUGCAGCCGUCGUCUCCACAGCUGGCUCAUCAGAGAAUGCUCCCAGGGGGAACAAGGACAGGAAAUGCACCGUGGCCACCUGCUUCCUGUUUUGGGAGAAAGGAAGUCCUGAGACCACCCCAGGUGGCGGUGAGGGGGCUCCCAGGAAGAUUCUCGACAGCAUCCAAGCUGCAGGGCAGAGCCUUGACCCAUGCCAUCUACUCCAGAAGUUUCCAGCAUUAGGCCCUUAAGGAGCACCCUCGGGGGUUCAAGGACCUGCACGUGUCCUGGGGUGAAGGGCAGGCUCUGGAGGCUCACCAGGUGGGCCAAGGCCCUGCGGCCUCUCCCUGUCCUGUGCUACCAGCCUGUGGUACACAGGUGUCCUUCCUCGUCCACGGGUAGGCAGGGCUCUUGGAAGGGGUGCCUCGUGCCCCCAGCUCUCAGUCUAGACAAGAGGAUCUGACGCAGGUGCCUGCGGUCACCCACUGCAGCACCAGCACCGGGCACGCUUUGCCCAGGAGGCCUGUCCAGACCAGGGGCUCUGGCGUCUGGAGGACAGACUACUUUGGGCGUAGCCGCGGGGUCAGGGGUGUGCCGAUGGAGGCUGAACAUCCUUGCUGCUUUGAGGAGGGAAAGUGCGGGGCUCCAGCACCCACGGCUGCCACGACCUUCCUAGGGGGGUGGGGCGGGGCGGGAGUGCCGUGAUGCUGAUUCCAGGGCAGAGGCGGGGCCUCUGCAUGAUUCCAGCUUAAAAGUAAAAUUUCCAGGGACACCUGGGUGGCUCAACGGUUGAGCCCUUCCCUUGGGCUCAGGGCGUGAUCCUGGGGUCCGGGGAUCGAGUCCCACAUCGGGCUCCCUGCAUGGAGCCUGCUUCUCCCUCUGCCUAUGUCUCUGCCUCUCUCUCUAUGUCCCUCAUUAAUAAAUAAAAUCUUAAAAAAAAAAAAAAUAAAUAAAUAAAUAAAUAAAAUCUUUAAAAUAAAAAUAAAUAAAAAUAAAAAAUAAAAUACAUUUUCCAGUUAUUUUACCAGUAAAAAUGUUUUGUUUUGUUUUGUUUUAUUUUGUUUUGUUUUGUUUUUUCAGGAAUGGCAGAGAACUGCAAGCCAAAGCCAGCAAAACCACAGGCAGGUGUGCCCCGCAAAGGAUGAAGUGGAGCGCCGAGGGGCUGCUGUCAACUGAAAGCCCAUUGGACUAAACUGGGAGCUGGAUGUGUGACGGCUUCUCAUUGGCUGGGCUGUUGCCAGGGGAGGAGGAAACCUUCCUUCCUCCCGCCCUGCGGUGAGGGAGCAGGAACGCAGUAGCGUGGGGAGGGCCGCUCCAUUCCCAUCGGAUUUGUGGUUCGGAUUUGUGGUUCGGAUUUGUGGUUGGUGAGGGUGGGAGGGCAUGAGAGCUCCCCCUGCCCAAACUCCCGACUUCCCUUUUAGUGAGGUUUCCUUUUACGAAUUUUCUCAGUAGGCCUGGGGUGCGGUGGGAAAGACCCCGGUAGGAAAGUCGUUCUGGCCGGGAGGGGCCCCUGUGGGGCAAGCACUGGGGUCCGCAGGCACACGGCAGCACAGCCCCUGCAGCUGGAGCCAGCCCAGUCACCGUAGAGACCACCGACUCUGCAGGGGGGGCACCCUGGGGAAUCCUGGUGGUGGGGGUAGGGUUGCUGGGGGUCUGAAGUGGGGGCUAUAGGUAGGACAAGCAGCCGUGACAGGUCACUGGGCACCCUGAUAGACAGGUGGACAGUACUGAGGAGGCCAGCAGGAGGCCUUGGGUAGGGCCUGGUGCUUGCGAGCUGAAUUCCUGUGCUCCGGCCCCCCAUCUCUGUGCAGGUCCCCACCUGGGCCAGGCCAUCACCACUAGGCCCCAUCUCCCCCAUCCUGGCAAUCACCACCCUAAGCUCAGCUCAGGCCUGACGCCACUCUGUGCGCCCUCAUGGAGCUAGCUCUGUCUCAGGCCCUCCUUAGGGGCUGGAUUGUGUCCCCCAAAUCCAUCUGCUGAGUCCUGGUCUCAGGACUUCAGAGGGUGACUGUGCUGCAGGAGGUGAUCAAGGUAGAGGAAGUCACUGAGAGCCCUGAUCCACGCCCACUGGUGUCCUUACAAGAAGAGACCAGGAUGCAGACAAGCACCGUGGGAUGACCCUGUGAGGCCACAGGGACAAGACGGUGUCUACACACUGAGGAGAGAGCCCUCAGGAGGGACCGGUACCGCUGGCACCUUGAUCCUAGCCUUCUUCCUCCAGGACUGUGGGAUGGGACGUUUCUGUCAUUUCAGCCCCCAGGGUCUGGUGCUCCCGGCAGCCGGAGCUGACUAGUGUACCCCUCAACCCUGGAGUUUCCUUCUUCAGCCUCCGGCAGGGCAGGGUACCCCCUGACACUCCGGUGACACAGGGCCCCACAUGCAGCAGUGCCGUCUGCAUACCCGGGAGAGGCGUGGUCUGAAUCAGUGCCCCUCGGGGGGUCAUGGUCCCCUGGGGCUGCCCCCCACCAGUGCCAGCCUGAGCCUGAGGUCUGGUUGAUGGAGGGCAGCUAUAGCCCAGGGUAAGGUCUCGGGCCAGGAGCGGGGUCCCUGGAGGAGCCGACUCCGUGGAUUCUGAGUGAGGAUCCGGGCCCCGGGGUGAAUCCCCGGACCUGGAAGCCGGGCCCUGGAAUACCCAGGGCCUGAGGCGAAGAGCUCCGUGGCCCGGGCUCCCAGGGUCCAGGCUGGGCUGGAGUUUGCCUCCACGGCGGCCACGAAGACCACGCGCUUGCUCAGGAGAUGGAGUCCACCCAGAGCGUUCCCCUGCUGAGUCCCGGGGGUACCCCGGUGCUUGGGCUGCUGGGCUCCAUGCUCCCAGGACGGGGGUCCUUCCGGGUGCAAUUAGAUGGGUCUCCCGCUCCUCAAAGCUGACGGCACUGGGGACUGUCCCAGUCCGCAGACUAGGGGAGCCAAGGCGUCCUCUUGGGUGAGCACAGAGCCUGAGGUCCAGAAGGCCCUUGCUGGGGCCCAGACCUCAGGGGCGGGCACGGGCGGGGCGGGGCGUGGAGAGGGCGGGCACGGGCAUG
rnacentral:lncRNA from 1 species